ACAGACAUCAUCAAUGGAAAGAUUGGUUACAACCAACAUGUAAUCUGAAACGAAUCUGAAAAGUUGUCCCGCAAGAGAUCUGGUAACGGGUCAAUCAAUAGGGACAAAACAUCAACAUUAUCUUUCCAACGUGAAUUUCCCGUUCUCUUAUGGACGUUCUCUUAUGGACGACGACGUCGACGAGAACUCGGAUAGUUGAGUUCAGAUGGAGACAAAACUCACCCGCCCAACACAACAGUUGUUGUUUGCUAUUUGGUAAGGCAGUAGCAAAACCUUAAACUCCUCCGGAAACAGUUUCCCUCAUCUUUGAGCUCGUGCUUGACAUUAGGAACAGGAAGAGAGGAAAUCUGUUAUGAUGCCCUCAACCUCGCUUUUCUUGGCAAUCCCGAUAAGUCGCUCUCACAACUCACAGCCGUUGUUCAGUACCAUUCCUGGGUUCUACCUGAGGAGCCAUAAAAGGCAAUAGAGGAGUGCCUGUGGAGGUCAAUAGGACACUGUUUUCCGAGCGGUUUCUCCAAAUGGGUCGGCAGUUUUCCGGGCCACAGGAGAGAGGUUCGAGCACGUUGUGCGGAAGUGGACGACCAAGAGGCACCAGGCUGGUGAGUGGUGACAGUGGUACACGUGAAAGUCAAUGAUCAAGCCGCUAAAAUCUACAGGAAGGGUGUCAAGCUCAAGUCGGGCGCGCCGGGGAGCAUGGAUGCCGUUGUUCGCAGGAUUACAUCUCCUUCAAUUGGGUCGUAAAAUCUUUGAAGCAGUGCAAUGACUGUGGACUUCCCAGAACCGCUGCCCCCAACAAGGCCUACUCUUUUACCUGCUGGAACCUUCAGAUUGAAGUCUUCUAAGAUCCGCAUAUCAGAGUCUAUGGUAGGAACCCGUCCAAUCAUCUCGGAGAUCCGGGAGGCAGCAGUCAUUGCCUCUGUAAUCCCAGUUAGAUUUGGGAGGGCACUCAAAAUACUCCUGCAAUCACCAAACCAGGGUGCUUAGUUUUAAAUUGAA